rnacentral:rRNA from 1 species
ACGCUAGCUACAGGCUUAACACAUGCAAGUCGAGGGGCAUCAGGAAGAAAGCUUGCUUUCUUUGCUGGCGACCGGCGCACGGGUGAGUAACACGUAUCCAACCUGCCCUUUACUCGGGGAUAGCCUUUCGAAAGAAAGAUUAAUACCCGAUAGCAUAAUGAUUCCGCAUGGUUUCAUUAUUAAAGGAUUCCGGUAAAGGAUGGGGAUGCGUUCCAUUAGGUUGUUGGUGAGGUAACGGCCCACCAAGCCUUCGAUGGAUAGGGGUUCUGAGAGGAAGGUCCCCCACAUUGGAACUGAGACACGGUCCAAACUCCUACGGGAGGCAGCAGUGAGGAAUAUUGGUCAAUGGGCGCUAGCCUGAACCAGCCAAGUAGCGUGAAGGAUGAAGGCUCUAUGGGUCGUAAACUUCUUUUAUAUAAGAAUAAAGUGCAGUAUGUAUACUGUUUUGUAUGUAUUAUAUGAAUAAGGAUCGGCUAACUCCGUGCCAGCAGCCGCGGUAAUACGGAGGAUCCGAGCGUUAUCCGGAUUUAUUGGGUUUAAAGGGAGCGUAGGUGGACUGGUAAGUCAGUUGUGAAAGUUUGCGGCUCAACCGUAAAAUUGCAGUUGAUACUGUCAGUCUUGAGUACAGUAGAGGUGGGCGGAAUUCGUGGUGUAGCGGUGAAAUGCUUAGAUAUCACGAAGAACUCCGAUUGCGAAGGCAGCUCACUGGACUGCAACCGACACUGAUGCUCGAAAGUGUGGGUAUCAAACAGGAUUAGAUACCCUGGUAGUCCACACAGUAAACGAUGAAUACUCGCUGUUUGCGAUAUACAGUAAGCGGCCAAGCGAAAGCAUUAAGUAUUCCACCUGGGGAGUACGCCGGCAACGGUGAAACUCAAAGGAAUUGACGGGGGCCCGCACAAGCGGAGGAACAUGUGGUUUAAUUCGAUGAUACGCGAGGAACCUUACCCGGGCUUAAAUUGCAGUGGAAUGAUGUGGAAACAUGUCAGUGAGCAAUCACCGCUGUGAAGGUGCUGCAUGGUUGUCGUCAGCUCGUGCCGUGAGGUGUCGGCUUAAGUGCCAUAACGAGCGCAACCCUUAUCUUUAGUUACUAACAGGUUAUGCUGAGGACUCUAGAGAGACUGCCGUCGUAAGAUGUGAGGAAGGUGGGGAUGACGUCAAAUCAGCACGGCCCUUACGUCCGGGGCUACACACGUGUUACAAUGGGGGGUACAGAAGGCAGCUAGCGGGUGACCGUAUGCUAAUCCCAAAAUCCUCUCUCAGUUCGGAUCGAGGUCUGCAACCCGACUUCGUGAAGCUGGAUUCGCUAGUAAUCGCGCAUCAGCCACGGCGCGGUGAAUACGUUCCCGGGCCUUGUACACACCGCCCGUCAAGCCAUGGGAGCCGGGGGUACCUGAAGUACGUAACCGCAAGGAUCGUCCUAGGGUAAAACUGGUGA